AUUCACUAGACGGCCAUCGCUCUUAUACCAACAACACCGUACUUGCUGCUCUCGUCCACUACAUUUCAAAGGCUCUAGUUGCUACUAUUGCCCGACAAGUCAGGCAGCAGAAGAGCCAGCUGUCUCCCUGUCCAGAUGUGGGGAUGAAGCAGUGUGUCUUGAGCCAUCCAGCCACUGGUAGAGGAAGUCACUACACACAACCAAUCUGACACCACUCAAUCCACAAACUCUUUUAAGGAAGCAGGAAGAGAAUGCUGUAGGAUGAUUGAAACAGUACAGUAUUGCUUGUUAAUGCAGGAAAGAGGGACGAUCAAGGAAGAGAACAUAUUGAGCAUUGAGGUAAACCAGGUUGAAGACUGCUGCCCUUGAACCUGCCCAGACCAAGAGGAACACCAGGGAUGUAUCAAGAAAAUGAGAUUAAUCGAAGAGUGAGUCUUGAGCCAUCCACCCAAUGGUAGAGGAAGUCGCCACACACAACCAACCUGACACCACUCCCGCCACAAACGCACGCUUAAGCAUCACCAAGAAUUGUCUUGCAAGAAAGGAAGAUGAUGAGAGGACUGCAGGAAGACUGAGGACCACACCACGAAGGAGUCUAGGUCCACCGAGCAUCGUCUCAAACCAAAAGGAAGGUUGGAGACGGAGCCACAAUGCUGCAGUCUUGUGGGUUUCUGUUUGAGCUAGCAUGUGACUCCUUGGAUGAUGGAGGCUUACCUUUCACAGGUGAUUAGUUAAUUUUGGAUCAGACAAACUUGUAUACACAAGUUCCAGCUGUGUCAAUGUUACCUGACUUGACGUGUGCCUCCAGUGGUGGUCCCCCUGCAUUGCCAUGACCCAGUGAAGGGUGAGGUGAGGGCUGUGCUGUCAGGUGGGGCACUGGUUUGGUUGGCCAUGGCUGUCUGGAAGAAGGGACAAGUCUCACAAAAUGUAAAGCAACACAGACCAGAAAUGUUAGUUUCAACUACAAACUAGAAACAUUUUGGUUUGAGAAUGGAAACUUUACUCUGCAAGUGUCUCCAACCCUUGACAUCAAUAUAUAAUCGAGAUUGUUAGGAUUAAACGUACAAAACAGUGCCAUAAGUAAUGGGUUGAAGCUUGAUAAAUUUCAUUCAAAAAGGAUACAAGAACAAACUGCAUCUCAAAUAACAUGCAAGAUGACUGAACAGUGCAGUGAACAGAGCUUAAAAUGGACAUACUUGGCUGAUAAUGUCGUCCACUGAACUGUCAACAUGGAGGCAUCAUAAGCUUUUUUUUUUUUUUUUUCUUUCCCUUUGAUAUAGGAUACAAACAGUUGGUAAGGUUAAUAUGUAUAAUCUAACUUUUAUUGUAUGUUACCAAUUACUAAUUCAAAAUAAUUAUAUACAAUAGGGGUGUGUGAACAAUCAGUAAAGAUUAAAACUUACUAGCUAAUCUAUAUACUGUAAAGAUAUACCAAUACAGUAUACUGCAUUUAUUCUUCAUUGAUUUACUUUUUUCUUUUUUAGCAUUUGCAAUUAAGUUUGGUGGUUAACCAUAUUUUACUUUCAUUGGCUGACAGAAUACUACAAUAUAACUACAAUUAUGACUCUUGAUGCCUGGACUACUGUGCUACACUUGUCUUGAAAAAGAAUGUACACACACACACACACACACACACACACACUUACUUUUGACAAUACCUCACUAAUAUUGAAGAUUCUUUCUAAAUAUGUGAUAAUGACCAGCAUACAACGUUAUUUGAGUUUCAUAUGAAAAUCAACUUUUUUUGAAGAGAAUGAAGAAAGUUUUCUCACAUUACCAACAAAGUAGGAAGGAGUCAGUCAUUUCAUGGAGAAAAUGAUAACAUACCAAUAAACAAUUAAUACUUUGCAUUAAUGAACUCAUUACUGCAUGUUUGUUUACAAUUAUACAUGUCCCAUCAUCAGUCAAAAACAGACCCCACAAACCAAUAUACUGCGCACGUCAGCACUGCUAUAAUUCAAUGCAGUCUGCAUUUUUUAUUUCGUGUGAAGGAAGCCAGCCCAGGAAAAAAAGUAACUGCUAAACUACUGCUGAUAUAUCCAAUUAUACAAUAUCACUCACUAGCUGGUAGCUGCACCCUUGCGUACUCGUAUUAAACGUGUCUCCCUUGAGCUUUGAUUCGCCAGAGUCAUUGCUGAGUGCAGUGUGGCAGUGUUUGAUCAGCAGCCUUUGGAUUAACUACUCACUAGAGAAAAAGAUGGUAACCAAAUGAAUAAGCCAAUUAAUCCAGAGAUAACCCACAUGCUCCAUUCUUGAAAUAGGUGAAGUUUAAGACGACGAAAAACAGCAACAGGAUGAGUUAUAAUUCAUUAAUGAAAGGACGAAGAUUAAGUCUUGAUAGGAAUGUGGACAGAAUAGGGGUGAGAAUAAGUACGUACUAUGUAUGAAGUCUUGUAGCAAGACUUGGCAAGUUGUGAAAGAAGCAGUAACAAUUAAAAUAAUGGUAGAAGACAAAAAGUAAUUCAACAAAUGUGGGAAAUUUGAGUUGAUUCUCCCACGGCUGACAAUGUUGUGUGUGCUGGAGUCCUCUUCCAUAUGAGGUAACAUGGCUGAGUCCUGAUAGAAUUUUCCAUCAUAUUCAUUACUGCAGAUGAGAGAGAAGGUCGGACAAAAUUCAAGGUAUUACAGUAGAGCUUACUUCAUGGUAAUAGUUCUGGACAUACUUAUAGAUGAUACAUAAAGUUGAUGACUGUACAGAGAACAAGCACCUACUUUACAACAACACUGUCAACAAUACUUGCUCACACUAGAGCUACAUAAACACUAGAUUAGUGUUGGUUCUACACACCUUCAUACUUCAACAACACAAUCAACAAAAUAAAUCAUACAUACGAUUUGUUUACAUCACUACCUACAAUCUCAACAGUUCUCUUUGCAUUGAUAAAAACACUCACUCUCUCGAUUCAUCAUCAUGCAUGGGGAUAUUAAGUUAAAGUUGGUUGGUUUUAGUUCUGGUAUCCAUCACAUCUGAUGCUCUCCAGAGCAUCAGCCAGGUGAAUCCAACUCCCCACUGUGGUGCCCCAACCACAGUAGUAACCUCCCAAUAAAUAGUUUAAAUUCAUGAGCUCAAGCAAGACUCAAUCUGCCAACCUUGGCAAUGCCAGGCCAGCACGUUACCACUGUACUGGCCAGAGGCUUGAGAAAAAUAAAUAAAUGAAUAAAUAAUAAAAAAACAAACAAAAAAGCUUGAACUUUCAACAAAUUGUGUACAAAUGUCAACCUUCAGUGAAAAAGAACAAUAUUGCAGUGUAUGUAUUGCAAAUCAUGUCUUGUAAUGUCAUAUCAUUAACAUAUGUGGAGCUCACACCUUCAUAACCUUGAUUCCCCUUAGAUGUGGCAUAUGCUACAUACUUUACUAAUCUAUUACAUAACUAAUACUUUCAAAAUCUUGAUUCCCCUUACAAGACUGACUAAAAAACAAUCUAAAGUCUCAUACUUUUACCUAAAAUUUUGAUACUUUACACAUCCCAUUUUUCAGUGGCAAUUGUCCUCUAGUAUAAUAUCAUACAGAAUUUGUGAGUCCUAUCUUUUCAGGCUAGUAACUCUACACAUAUGUUUUGGCAGAAAAGAAGGUUCAGUAUUCAACAAUUAACACUGCAGAGGCAUUUCUAGACAAAUCCUUAUCAAGAAAACAGCUGUAUGACAACAUUCUACUUUCAUUAGGAAAAAACGGCAAGUUUCUACUUUAUGAAAAGACAUUAUCAAAUAAGCACAUUGAAGAAAGAGUUAUGGCAGUGCAAACCAUCAGCUGCUUCAACAUCCUAACACUACACUGUAUGUCACAAUAAAACAUUACUGUGUUUACAUUAUUGAUCCAUCUUAGUUGCUGACCACCCAUCCAUUAGAUGCUUUGCAAUGGCAGGUGAGAUGACAAUGGAAACAGGUGUGAAGCUGAAUCUCAAAAACAUCAAAGCUAAAACUAUCACCCUAAACUUCCUCCCAGCCUGAAGUGGAAUAUAUACAUGAAGACAGCCUUCUCUCUUUUUCAUCAACCAUACACUUGGCAACAAUUGAUGUCUGGAUAAGAGAAACGUAUGAGAUCCACAAUAAUAUUCCCUCAGAUAUGCAGGAAAACUUUCUUUAAAGGCCCUUCAAGCCGCACUAUAAAGGUUCUUCAGGUCACUCUACCAUUAAUGUACUAUCAACCACUCUUCCUUCCUCUAUAGCUAUCUAUGUCUUGUAUCCUUGCACCAACCAUCCAUCUUUAACAUCCUAUCUUUCAUACCACCCAAUUAUCUCAUUCAACAAUAACUUUUCUAUCCUUUCUAUUACAUACCCACAGCACUAUAGCACUCUGUUCUCCUUAAUCAGGCAACUCUCUCCCUACAA
rnacentral:lncRNA from 1 species